UCUCAGUUCGGAUUGAAGGCUGAAAUUCGCCUUCAUGAAGCUGGAAUUGCUAGUAAUGGCAGGUCAGCAUACUGCCGUGAAUACGUUCCCGGGCCUUGUACACACCGCCCGUCACACCAUGAGAGUUGGAAAUACCCGAAGCCUGUGAGCUAACUGUAAAGAGGCAGCAGUCGAAGGUAGAGCCAAUGAUUGGGGUGAAGUCGUAACAAGGUAUC
rnacentral:rRNA from 1 species